rfam:Gossypium hirsutum cultivar TM-1 chromosome 16, whole genome shotgun sequence
UUAUUAAAAUUUCAUCCAUUUAUACUAUUAAAAAUUGUCGUGCUUAAUAGAAUAACUAACAACAAGUAAUGUACCACAUGUACCUCAUGCUAAUGUACAUGGAUCAUUUUUUAACAAAAAAAACAAAUUGAGGAAAUUUUAAUAG